rnacentral:lncRNA from 1 species
AUGAUAUAUGAGGACUAUUUGGACAUGAAUGAGCUCUCACAAACCAAUUCCAAUCAUCAAAUCACUGAUUAAAUGGACAGUUGACCAACAGUUGACUUUUAGGGUUUCUGGCUGACUGAACCUCUUCUGAUGAAUUCCAAACCCUAAUUCCUUGAGAUCUUGACUUCAAAUGAUGUCCCAAGUUGUAUGGACUCUUGAUUAUUGAUCAUGGUGCCCAAAUUCCACAAGAAUGACCACCAUCCACUGCUUUGACUGACUGUUGACUUU